CCUACGGGGGGCUGCAGUGAGGAAUAUUGGUCAAUGGACGCAAGUCUGAACCAGCCAUGCCGCGUGCAGGAAGACGGCUCUAUGAGUUGUAAACUUCUUUUGUCAAGGGACAAAAUCAGGCUCGAGAGCCUGACCGAGGGUACUUGAAGAAAAAGCAUCGGCUAACUCCGUGCCAGCAGCCGCGGUAAUACGGAGGAUGCGAGCGUUAUCCGGAUUUAUUGGGUUUAAAGGGUGCGUAGGCGGACUGUUAAGUCAGCGGUAAAAGCCCGGGGCUCAACCCCGGCGAGCCGUUGAAACUGGCUGUCUUGAGAUGUCGAGAGGUAUGCGGAAUGCGCAGUGUAGCGGUGAAAUGCUUAGAUAUUGCGCAGAACUCCGAUUGCGAAGGCAGCAUACCGGCGGCGAUCUGACGCUGAGGCACGAAAGCGUGGGUAUCGAACAGGAUUAGAUACCCUUGUAGUC
rnacentral:rRNA from 1 species